rnacentral:rRNA from 1 species
UGUGAGGUUAAGCGACUAAGCGUACACGGUGGAUGCCCUGGCAGUCAGAGGCGAUGAAGGACGUGCUAAUCUGCGAUAAGCGUCGGUAAGGUGAUAUGAACCGUUAUAACCGGCGAUUUCCGAAUGGGGAAACCCAGUGUGAUUCGUCACACUAUCAUUAACUGAAUCCAUAGGUUAAUGAGGCGAACCGGGGGAACUGAAACAUCUAAGUACCCCGAGGAAAAGA